GCCCCUUUGGUGCCAGUCUGCUGGAGUUUGCUGGAGGUCCACUCCUGACCCUGUUUGCCUGGGUAUCACCAGCAGAGGCUGCAAAGCAGCAAAGAUUGCUGCCUGUUCUUUCUUCUAGAAGCUUCGACCCAGUGGGGCACCUGUCAGAUGCCAGCCAGAGCUCUCCUGUAUCAGGUGUCUGUCGGUCCAAGCUAGAAGGAUUUUAUAACCUGACAGCGUGCUGGAACUUCUCUGCUGGACUCCUGGACUCCCACAAUGGUUGUGGGGCUAGACAAGAAGGAAAAAAAUCACUGUCCUCAUGGAAGUUAAAUUGUACUGACAAAGGAGGAAAAUGUCAGGGAGUUAACAAUUCAGUCUCUGUGGCUUCCUCCUGUCCUCUCCCUGAAACUGAGAUCCAGCCAAUCUGCACAUUUAUUCUGAGAGUGGCCCCACUUUAAUGACUACACCCAGCUGUCUACACACCAGGAGGGGAGGGAACUGUAUCCUGAGGCACCAACCCGAUUACCCACCCAACAGCCACAGGGACUUCCAGUGACUGGGGCAUCAUCCUCAAUGCCACCAACCCCUCUCCUUCCUGUGGCUUUUCUAACUGGAACUGGAACUCAGAAAGUACAUUAAUCACCAAUUUGGGAAGCUAUAGGAAAGUAUGUUUUCUAAUAUACAGUGAGAGAAUGUGACUGAUAAAACCAAUUUUCUUGAGACUUUCUCCCUGGAAAGUGAAUAUAUGUAUUCAUAGGGCCUUCACAAGCACAGACUAACAAGCAAAGAGCUACAUUCACUGGGAAGGAAGACUCAAAAUUUAAAAAUAGAAAAAAAAAUGAUGGCCCAGAAGAGCAAGUUCAGAGUGCUGUUCAUGAGUGAUCCG
rnacentral:lncRNA from 10 species